rnacentral:rRNA from 1 species
GACGAACGCUGGCGGCGUGCUUAACACAUGCAAGUCGAACGGAAAGGCCCUGCUUUUGUGGGGUGCUCGAGUGGCGAACGGGUGAGUAACACGUGAGUAACCUGCCCUUGACUUUGGGAUAACUUCAGGAAACUGGGGCUAAUACCGGAUAGGAGCUCCUGCUGCAUGGUGGGAGUUGGAAAGUUUCGGCGGUUGGGGAUGGACUCGCGGCUUAUCAGCUUGUUGGUGGGGUAGUGGCUUACCAAGGCUUUGACGGGUAGCCGGCCUGGGAGGGUGACCGGCCACAUUGGGACUGAGAUACGGCCCAGACUCCUACGGGAGGCAGCAGUGGGGAAUAUUGCACAAUGGGCGGAAGCCUGAUGCAGCAACGCCGCGUGCGGGAUGACGGCCUUCGGGUUGUAAACCGCUUUCGCCUGUGACGAAGCGUGAGUGACGGUAAUGGGUAAAGAAGCACCGGCUAACUACGUG